rnacentral:rRNA from 1 species
UUCCAGACUCCUACGGGAGGCAGCAGUGGGGGAUAUUGCACAAUGGGGGGAACCCCGAUGCAGCGACGCCGCGUGGGUGAAGGAGUGCUUCGGCAUGUAAAGCCCUAUCGGCAGGGAAGAAGCAAGACGGUACCUGACUAAGAAGCCCCGGCUAACUACGUGCCAGCAGCCGCGGUAAUACGUAGGGGGCAAGCGUUAUCCGGAUUUACUGGGUGUAAAGGGAGCGUAGACGGCUGUGCAAGUCUGAAGUGAAAGCCCAGGGCUCAACCCUGGGACUGCUUUGGAAACUGUGGAACUAGAUUGCAGGAGAGGUAAGUGGAAUUCCUAGUGUAGCGGUGAAAUGCGUAGAUAUUAGGAGGAACACCAGUGGCGAAGGCGGCUUACUGGACUGUAAAUGACGCUGAGGCUCGAAAGCGUGGGGAGCAAACAGGAUUAGAUACCCCAGUAC